UACGGGGGGUGCGAGCGUUGUCCGGAAUCACUGGGCGUAAAGGGCGCGUAGGCGGCUUGAUAAGGGUGUGGUGAAAGCCCGGGGCUCAACCCCGGGUCGGCCAUGGCGACUGUCAAGCUGGAGUACUGUAGGGGCAGGCGGAAUUCCGGGUGUAGCGGUGGAAUGCGUAGAGAUCCGGAGGAAGACCGGUGGCGAAGGCACUCUGCUGGGCCGACACUGACACUGAGAGACGAAAGCUAGGGGAGCGAAUGGG
rnacentral:rRNA from 1 species